rfam:Triticum aestivum genome assembly, contig: Triticum_aestivum_CS42_TGACv1_scaffold_374886_5AL
GUUAUACUCCCUCCGCCCCAUAUUAGUUGUCGCUGAAGCGGAUGUAUCUAGACGUAUGUCAAUGCUAGAUACAUCCAUUUGAAUGACAACUAAUAUGGGACGGAGGUAGUAUUUC